AGAGCUGCGCCACCGCCAUCACCACCGCGGCGCUGCGGCUCUGCAGCAGGGGUUUGGUGUUGCGCAGCAGCAGCCGGUGGUCGGGGUCCAUGACAUAGGGCUUUCGGGAGGGGGCGGCCGCGGCGGCCGUCUCCUCAGACCCCGCGCCCUUGGCCUCGUCCUCCUCUGAGCCGUAGAAGGCUUUUUCCGCGUUCUCCUCUAGUAGGGAUUCCUGGACGGGGAGACCGACGGGUCUGUGGGCGCCUCCCCGGGACACACUUCGGCCCGCUCUGCCUGGGCUGGGCCCACUUACGUUCUGGGUGGGGCUCAGGAACUGCGUGCGGGCGUAGCGGGUGAGCAUGCUGAUGAUGACCACCUGGCCCCACUCCUCCACGUCGAUCAGCAGGUUACAGAGUUUCCGGUAGUUUUUGUGAAUCAGGUCGAUGCGCUCCGGGCAGACCUCCUCAAAGGCCAUCACCACACUGCCCGCCACCAGCUGGGGAAAGAACAAAGACGAGAGGGUGAACGCGAAGGGUGGAAGGCCGGCUGCCGGUCACCACCCCUCCCGGAGCGCCCCUAUACACGCACCGUGGUCUUGUCAGCCAGAAGCUUCUCAAUGACUUCUAUCAGCUGAUCCUUCUGGUCAGAGUCCAAACUGAGGGAGAAAUCGGUGAGGGGAAUUUGCCACUCUCAGCCCCAGCCUUCCCAAUAUCUGUCCAAGCCAUGCUCACCUCCUGCACCCCAGCCUUAUUGUUCUCCUCCAUCUCUGUCAGUCCCCCAAACUACCCUCCUCAAACCCUCUGAGAAGCAGCAGGCAAGACUUAGGAAAGGCCAGGGGUGGGUUGAGAACUUAGGAACCAGCCUCCUGGGGAGCGUGGGACAGGGCUGGGGCAUACCUGUAGAGUUUAGGGAUGGCGUGGGCAGCUGUUUUCCGCACAUAGGGUGACAUGUCCGAGGCGGCUUCCUUGAUAGCUAGCAUCAUGAUGGGCACUAUGAUGGGCACACGGAUGCUAGAGAGGACACGGAGGGCACUGGCACGAAUCAGCUGGUUGGGAUCCUAAAGGCAGAGGUGGAGGCAGAGCUAUGAAAGGGCACCAGGUGCCCUGAUGGGGGGAGGCCACACCUUUGGAAGUCACUGUCCCCAGCGACCACUAGCUCUUGCUUCCCUGCCGCUUGACUGGAGCCUGGAUGGUGUGCCAGUGAUGGGUAUCUGGGGGACACUUAAUUUUGGCUCUGGUUGCAGAAAUCUGACACCUGAACAGGUGUUGCAAUGGGUAGCUUCACUUCCAGAAACACUGAAAAACUUUCAGAACACCUAAAAUUGCUGAAACACCUGAAACACUUCCUGUUCCUUGUAAGGGUUUUUUUGGAGGUGCCUGUUUUAAUGCCUGAGGUGACCGCCCAGCAGAUGCAAGCUGGUCUCCCUUCCGGAGUUCAACCUUACACUCCUUUCUCCCAGAAAUCAUUGCAAAAGCUGCUGUUCUUCCACAGUGUUUAAAACAAAAUAGGGGUGUAGGCCCUUCCUUUUUUUUUUUUUUUUUUUUUUUGAGAUGGAGUCUCGCUCUGUCGCCAGGCUGGAGUGCGGUGGUGCAAUCUCGGCUCACUGCAACCUCCACCUCCUGGGUUCAAGCGAUUCUCCUGCCUCAGCCUCCCAAGUAGCUGGGACUACAGGCGCGCACCACCACACCCAGCUAAUUUUUUGUAUUUUUAGUAGAGAUUAGGUUUCGCCGUGUUGGCCAGGCUGGUCUCGAACUCCUGGCCGCAAGUGAUCCGCCCACCUCGGCCUCCCAAAGUACUGGGAUUACAGACGUGAGCCACCACGCCCGGCCCCAAGCCCUUCUUCUUUAUUCCUACUGCAUCCUAUACAGAACGUAUAAAAGCAUUCCUUACACUGUAUUGUGAUCAUGGGGCUUAGGACUGUCUUCCCACUAUCAGCAGCAGCAGCUAUAUAUUACAGGCAUACCUCGGAGAUAUUGUGGGUUUGAUUCUAGACCUCAACAAUAAAGCAAAUAUCGCACUAAAACGAGUCACAUAAAUUUUUUGUUUCCUGGUGCAUACAAGUUAUGCUUAUAGUUACAGCUGCUUGGGAAGCUGAAGUGGGAGAAUCACUUGAGCCCAGGGAGUUGGAGGCUGAAGUGAGCUACAUAUGUUCAUGCCACUGCACUCCAGACUGAGCAACAGAGUGAGAUCCUAUCUCCAAAAAAAAAAAAAAAGUUAUGUUUACAAUAUACUGUAGUCUACUAAGCAUGCAAUAGCAUUAUGUCUUUAAAAAAACAAUGUAGGCU
rnacentral:lncRNA from 10 species